rnacentral:lncRNA from 1 species
CCAGCUGCCUCGUGGUGAUUGGUGUGCUGCUUGCUCCCUGGUUCUGCUUCCGAAGCUCCAGAUAGAACUCCUGAAGGACCUGAGCAGCUUCUGGAGAUAAAUGUGGGUGAACGUACUGCCGAGCAUAGCCGACGUACUUCCUCAGCAGCUGAUGUGGAAUGGCAUCAAAGUUUUCUCCUGGUGAGAUCUUUAGUCUUUCAAGCAGGGGCCGAUCUGAAACGACUUCAAGAACAGAGCGAUCCUGCACGUUGGUACGGCUCACAACUGCACUGCUGCACACUGCCUGCUUCCCAGCUCGGAUUGCCAUCACGUGCUCUGACAGCAAAUGAUCAUGAUCUUCAUUUGGG